GAUGGACGCUGGCGGCGUGCCUAAUACAUGCAAGUCGAGCGAACAGACGAGGAGCUUGCUCCUCUGACGUUAGCGGCGGACGGGUGAGUAACACGUGGAUAACCUACCUAUAAGACUGGGAUAACUUCGGGAAACCGGAGCUAAUACCGGAUAAUAUAUUGAACCGCAUGGUUCAAUAGUGAAAGACGGUUUUGCUGUCACUUAUAGAUGGAUCCGCGCCGCAUUAGCUAGUUGGUAAGGUAACGGCUUACCAAGGCAACGAUGCGUAGCCGACCUGAGAGGGUGAUCGGCCACACUGGAACUGAGACACGGUCCAGACUCCUACGGGAGGCAGCAGUAGGGAAUCUUCCGCAAUGGGCGAAAGCCUGACGGAGCAACGCCGCGUGAGCGAUGAAGGUCUUCGGAUCGUAAAACUCUGUUAUUAGGGAAGAACAAAUGUGUAAGUAACUAUGCACGUCUUGACGGUACCUAAUCAGAAAGCCACGGCUAACUACGUG
rnacentral:rRNA from 1 species